CACAACAACUCCACAAGAAACCACUAAAGUCAGCUAAGAUGCCACAUUGCUGAGAUUCACCUUGGGAUCUCUUUGACCCCAAAAUUCUAUGCCACAGUGUCUUCCCAAAGCACUUUAAUGAAGAGAACGAUGCAUUGGCUACCAGCAGCAAUGCCCACUAUGGAAAUUUAGAAGAUAAGCAAAAACGUGCUUCGAUCUCAGUAACUACUAUUGUGAUUUGUCUCUGUGUCAUAGAUACAAAGUAUCAUAAUAGAUAGCUGGCUCUGUAGCAAAUGCCAGAUCAAAGUUUAAUAUAUGUGAUGUGUGCAUCAGGCAUGAAGUUGGACCAGGUGGAAAGGUAUACAGACUCGAUGUGAGUAGUAAUGAUGUCUAAUUAUCAGCAGCAGUGGGUUACUGCAACAUCGGGAGCAAAGCAUCUCUCACUGACAGCAAAGCCAGCUGAGAACCCUCAAACCUCAAGUUCAUAAUGUUACUUCCAAUACAAAGGACUCAAAGCACUUCAUUCUCUACAACAGACUUCUGGCUCAUCCAGAUGUAAAUAAACCUCAGAUCUAAUUCAUGCCAAUGUAGUCCUCAUUAUUUACUAAAGCCAGACAAUAAUCUCACCAUUGUCUUUAGCAGUGCCACAUGUUAAAGGAGAAGACUACAUUUAUAGAUCUACUUCCUAGAAACCUAACAAUAGUACAUUAAAGAAAAAAAACAACAGAACUUUUUUAAUGUGUUUCCAUUUCACCUUUAUUUCCAUUUCCCACUUUCUAUAUAAAUUCCAAAAGAAAUAUACAACCUUCAAACAACAAUUUCUAAAUUAAUCUCAGGACACCAUAAACUGAUUUCCAAACCUAAGAGUCCUCUAAAUAAUGAUCUGGAAAAAAAAAAUACCUUUCAUGCACAUAUUUCCAAUUUAAUAUACUUCCAUUAGAGAGAUUACAAUAGCUUUCACGACGUCUCCUUUCUAAGCAUCCUCCAGGAUAUUGCAUGGGGAAACAGUUGCCAAUAUGAAAGGAAAAAAAAAGGAGCAAAUGCUCAAGAAACCCAACGCGAGGCAAAAAAAAAAAAAAAAUACAAAGGAUGCCA